GACGAACGCUGGCGGCGUGCUUAACACAUGCAAGUCGAACGGAAAGGCCCUGCUUUUGUGGGUUGCUCGAGUGGCGAACGGGUGAGUAACACGUGAGUAAACUGCCCUUGACUUUGGGAUAACUUCAGGAAACUGGGGCUAAUACCGGAUAGGAGCUCCUGCUGCAUGGUGGGGGUUGGAAAGUUUCGGCGGUUGGGGCUGGACUCGCGGCUUAUCAGCUUGUUGGUGUGGUAGUGGCUUACCAAGGCUUUGACGGGUAGCCGGCCUGGGAGGGUGAACGGCCACAUUGGGACUGCGAUACGGACCAGAAUCCUACGGGAGGCAGCAGUGGAGAAUAUUGCACAAUGGGCGGAAGCCUGAUGCAGCAACGCCGCGUGCGGGAUGACGGCCUUCGGGUUGUAAACCGCUUUCGCCUGUGACGAAGCGUGAGUGACGGUAAUGGGUAAAGAAGCACCGGCUAACUACGUG
rnacentral:rRNA from 1 species